rnacentral:rRNA from 1 species
AACGAACGCUGGCGGCGCGCCUAAUACAUGCAAGUCGAGCGAGAAGACGUAGCAAUACGUUUGUAAAGCGGCGAACGGGUGAGGAAUACAUGGGUAACCUACCCUCGAGUGGGGAAUAACUAGCCGAAAGGUUAGCUAAUACCGCGUACGCUCCUUGGACUUCGGUUCAGGGAGGAAAGCGAUACCGUGGGUAUCGCGCUCUUGGAUGGGCUCAUGUCCUAUCAGCUUGUUGGGAGGUAACGGCUCACCAAGGCUUCGACGGGUAGCUGGUCUGAGAGGACAAUCAGCCACACUGGCACUGCGACACGGGCCAGACUCCUACGGGAGGCAGCAGUAAGGAAUAUUGCGCAAUGGGGGAAACCCUGACGAAGC